GCGAUCCCCGCGUCACUUCAUUCGGGUGUCGUCAGCCAUGAGGGCCGACUUGGCCGUAUGGGAGACCUUUUUGCGGGAGUUCAAUGGGACGGUGAUUUUUAGACAGGAGGGCGUGUCGGCUGCGGAACUGGAGCUGUUCACAGACGCGUCUGGUAGCGUGGGCUUCGGGGCUUAUUUUGGGGGAUGUUGGUGUGCGGAGCGAUGGCCGAGGGAGUGGCGACUGAGCCCCCUCAUGCGGA